UGGCGGACGGGUGGGUAACGCGUGGGUAACCUGCCUCAUACAGGGGGAUAACAGUUAGAAAUGACUGCUAAUACCGCAUAAGACCACAGCACCGCAUGGUGCAGGGGUAAAAACUCCGGUGGUAUGAGAUGGACCCGCGUCUGAUUAGGUAGUUGGUGGGGUAACGGCCUACCAAGCCGACGAUCAGUAGCCGACCUGAGAGGGUGACCGGCCACAUUGGGACUGAGACACGGCCCAA
rnacentral:rRNA from 1 species